ACUAUCGCGAUCAGCAUGUCGCGGUGAAUACGGUUCCCGGGCCUUGUACACACCGGCGGUCACACCCAUGAGAGUUUGUAACACCCCAAAGUCGGUGGGGUAACCUUUUUGGAGCCAGCCGC
rnacentral:rRNA from 1 species